UCCUGAGAAAGUAACCGGUUUCUUCAAUUGUGUCCUAUUACAAAAGAAAACGUGGUUAUUAACGUUAUACAAACAAAUACCAUGAAUUAAGAAUAUUCAUAAAUAGUUUACAAAUUCUGGAGAAAUUAGAAUACUCAAUAUACUUAAAGUAUAUUUCAAGGCUAUAAAUAGUUCAAAAUAAAAAGAUUAUUCAGGCUGAAAAAAAACAAAAAGAAUUAGCAAUAUUUCAGACAACAAAAGCCAUACAAAUUAUUUCAGUCUUCCAUUAGUUCAUUUCAGUCCAUUGUAAUCAACUCCUGCUGUACUUCAUGUUCAUCUUUAUGAACACAUCAGCCUUUCAAUUAGUGCCUUGGAAGUUUUCUGUCUAAUCCAAUGGCACACUCUCCAAAGUUAUCAGAAACCUGCAUUCAAGAGUUCUUUCAUGAACUCCUCCAAAGAAGUAAGCCUUGGACUGUAGCUGAUUAUAAGUCACUUUUUGUUGUUGUUGUUGUUGAGAAGGAUCAAAGCAAAACAUCAAUUAUGGAUGACAAAAGUCUUAAGACAGCCAUAAAGACACAGUUGACAAAGAAAUUUGGUUAUUUCUGUGGCUUACAACAAUUUAACAUAAUCAUUACAACAUAUAUUAAGACAUCAGAAUUUUAGAAAUCUCAUACAAUCCUGGAACACAUAUUAACAACAAAUCUCUAUCAGUAUAACCCAAAGGAAGCUAAACACCACCUCACACUUGACAGUGUUUCCUGUAUAAUUCUAACAUUACAAAUGAGCCUAAUAUAUCACUCUUGGACUUCAGGAAGCCUGAUAUCUAAAAAGUUAGUUUAAGGUCAAAAGUUUUCGAAUUAACUUUUUUCCAUUAGUAUGGUCAUAUUUUUCUUACUUAUUUGUAAGUUAUAUAAUUUAUCAAUUUUUUGUUGUUCUGUUCCCCAACCUCUAUGUCAGAUAAAGAAUCACCCAGGCCAGAUACAAUGGCUCAUGCUUGUAAUCCCAACACUUUGGGAAGCCAAGGUGGGAGAAUUGCUUGAAGCCAGGAACCUGAGACCAGCCUGGGCGACAAAGCAAUACCCCUAUCUCUACAAAAAAUAAAAAAUAGCCAGGUGUAGCGACAUACACCUGUAAUCUCAGCUGCUCAGGAGGCUAAGCAGGAGGAUGGCUUGGACCCAGGAGUUCAAGGCUGCAGUGAGCUAUGAUUGCACCACUGCACUCCAGCCUGGGCAACAGAGUAAGAACUGUCUCUUUAAAAAAAUAAAAAAUAAAAAUGGGCCGGGCGCGGUGGCUCUAAAUUACUCAAAUUAAUCCUGAAGCCAUUCUGCAAUACUGUCUUUAAUGUAUACUCACUUGUUAUAGAAGCCAGGGUUUUUUCCCCUAAUUUGUACCAUUGCUAUAUGUAUUAUUGUACCAAACUACACUUUUAAUUACUGUAAAUUUUAAUAUAUCUUAGUAUCUGGAUGUGGGAACCUUGAAAGCAGGGACUUUGUGUUAUUCACCACUGUAUUCUCAAUAUCAGAAGAGUAUCUGGCCUACUAAGUGCACAAUAAACAUAGUUAAAAUGAAUGAGAGUGUUGUCUGUAAUUUUCUUUUUAUAGAUGAGUAGGUCUCAUGUGUAGACCCUGUACAAUCAGCAUCAGAACCCCCCAGAAACCUAAAAAUUAAAUUCUUGGUCCUUGCCUGCUGAAUCAGAAACUGUGUAUAAGGCCCAGUAAUCACUGUAACAUGCCAACUAGGUGGUUCUGUUAUUCACUCACAUUUGAGAACCACUGAUAAAU
ensembl:lncRNA